rnacentral:rRNA from 1 species
AUUGAACGCUGGCGGCAGGCCUAACACAUGCAAGUCGAGCGAGCGGCGGACGGGUGAGUAAUGUCUGGGAAACUGCCUGAUGGAGGGGGAUAACUACUGGAAACGGUAGCUAAUACAGCAUACCAUCAGAUGUGCCCAGAUGGGAUUAGCUAGUAGGUGGGGUAACUGCUCACCUAGGCGACGAUCCCUAGCUGGUCUGAGAGGAUGACCAGCCCGACUGGAACUGAGACACGGUCCAGGCUCCUACGUGAGGCGGCAGUGGGAAAUAUUGCACAAUGGGCGCAAGCCUGAUGCAGCCAUGCCGCGUGUGUGAAGAAGGCCUUGGGGUUGUAAAGCACUUUCAGCGGGGAGGCGUUACCCGCAGAAGAAGCACCGGCUAACUCCGUGCCAGCAGCCGCGGUAAUAC